rnacentral:lncRNA from 1 species
CCGGGUCAAUUCACACCACUCUCACAAUUUCUAGCGUGGAAAAUCGAGCGGCAACCCAAACGAAAGAGGCAAUUUCCCGGGUCACCAGCCCACCCAAGUAACGGGGCGUCUGCAGCGAGUCGCUCGAUUCUGCCGAUGACGAGCGUUUGCAACGAGCCCACCCAAGCGACGGAGAAAAAGGUAAGAUGAUUCUGCCCUUUUUUUGGACAUGUAAACCGUAAGUUUGCAAAUUUUUGUGUGGUUCUGUGGUAUGUUUUCCACUUUGCUGUAUGCUUGGUAAUGCAUCUUGCACAUUGGGCUGCUGCUGAUGUUAAUGAUAGGGAAUCCAACCACCGAAAUACGCAAUUGCAUAUACUAGCUUCUUCAGGCAAAUGAAGGGUGGGGACUGUCCUUGAAUAAUUUGUUUCGAAUUGUGAAAUCUGCUAGAUUUUUUACUGUAAUUGUGUGUUGGAUCCCUGUGUUGAAUUGGAAAUAUUUGUGUUGGGUUGUGGGAAUACUAAAUUUUGGUCCAGAUUGUCUGUUUCUGUAUUAAAGAUGCAUGGCAAAUGUUAUAUGUAGGCUUCAAUAGUCUUCAAUAUCACAGAUGGAAAAUGUCAUGUUAAAUUGCAUGGUGAAUUAUGCUUAGGUCUCUGUUUCAUAUUCUCGCUAUGUUAUAUAUAUGCUUCGAUAGUCUUCAAUACUAAAAUUAUUAUUCGGUUGCUGCUGAUGUUAAUUUGAUUAUGGAGCUGAUAAUGUUCCCAUUUAAUGCGUUGUAGGAGAAGAACGAGUUGAAGUAUUGGAGGACGAAGUCCUUGUACAAUCCAGUAAUAGGUGUAGUACUGAAAAUGUAGUCACCAUGGAAGAUGACGUAUUAGGAGAAGAUGGUACGAUUGUGCCAGAGGUGGGAGGAGGUGGAACAAUUGUGCCAGAGGUGGGUAUGAAGUUCAAAGAUGAAAACGAGCUAUAUGAAUUUUAUAAGAACUAUGUAUAUAACGUUGGUUUUUCGGUUAGGAGACGGAAUUCGAGGAAGGGGGAGGAUGGAGUAGUGACAUAUGUUACGUUGACGUGUUGUCGUGAGGGCCGUAGAAGUACUAAUACAAGCAGUUCUUUGAAAUCGCAACCAACAAUUCAGACAGAUUGCAAAGUAAAGCUCACUGCUUCGGCAGAUAUUCAUGGAACAUGGAAAAUAUGCACAGUGUGUCUUGAACACAAUCAUAAAACAAGUCCAUCGAAGUCAAGGUUGUAUCGAUAUAAUUGAGAGUUGAAUGCAAAUGUCAAACGGAAGCUUGAAGUGAAUGAUAUGGCUGGAAUUCCUCUGCACAAGAGUUAUAACUCUGCAGUUGUCGAAGCGGGUGGGUAUGAGAAUAUGACCUGCAUGGAAAAAGACUGUCAAAAUUAUGUUGAACAAGUGAGGCGUUUGAGAUUAGGUGAUGGAGAUGCCGCAGCAAUACAAUCCUACUUUUCACAAAUGCAGGCACAAUGCUCGGGGUUUUACUUCUGUAUGGAUUUGGAUGAAGAGUCACGGCUUAAGAAUUUGCUUUGGGUAGAUAAUAGGUGUAGGCUGGCGUAGAAGGAGUUUGGGGAUGUAGUGACCUUCGAUACGACAUAUCUCACUAAUAAGUAUGACAUGCCUUUUGCUCCCUUUGUCGGAGUGAAUCAUCAUGGCCAGUCAACACUUCUUGGAUGUGGUGUGCUAUCAAAUGAAGAUACGGACACAUUUGUGUGGCUCUUCAAGACAUGGUUGCAGUGCAUGCAUGGUCGACAUCCUAAUGGAAUUAUUACGGAUCAAGAUAAGGCUAUGCAAAAUGCAAUUGAGAUAGUCUUUCCCAAUACGAGGCACAGAUGGUGUUUAUGGCACAUCAUGAAGAAAUUACCUGAGAAGUUUGGGUACCACGUUGACAAAGGUUCAAUUUUUUCGUCCAUACAUGCAUUAAUGUACGAGAUGCGCAGCAUGUUGAAGAAUUUGAAGCAGGUUGGGGCAUUAUGCUGGAUACAUAUAAUUUACAAGAGAACGAAUGGUUGUCGGGGUUGUAUGAAAAUAGGGGUCGUUGGGUGCCAUGCUACUUGAAAACAACGUUUUGGGCAAGGAUGUGUCCACAACGCAACGGAGUGAGAGUAUGAAUGCGUUUUUUAAUAUGUAUGUGCAUUCGAAGACGUCGUUGAAGCAAUUUGUUGAGCAAUAUGAACGAGCAUUAAGAAAUAAAGUUGAAAAGGAAUUUCAGGCAGAUUUUAAAUCUUUUUCCCAAAUGGUGCCUUGUGCAACAAAAUAUGAAAUGGAAAAACAAUUUCAAACAGUUUACACAAUCUCGAAGUUUCGGGAAGUUCAGGACGAGAUAACUGGGAAGGUAUAUUGCUAUGUGAUAUCUGCAGUGGAUAACAAAUCGGAGAGGAUGUAUGAGGUUGAGGAGGAUGUCAUUCACAGAGAGACGGUGAGGAAGAAAAAGUUUUAUGUCACAUUUCGUACAAGGGAGUGCGAUGUUAUUUGCAGUUGUCACUUAUUCGAGUUCCGUGGAAUUCUGUGCAGACAUGCCAUAUCAGCGUUGAUGCGUAACGGCAUCACAUCAUUACGGGAUAGGUACAUAUUGAGGAAAUGGAGACGAGAUGUUAGUAGAGCCCAUACGAGAGUCGCUGUGAACUAUGCCGGUCUACUUAGCACUCCUAUCCAGUUACGAUAUGGUACAAUGUGUGACUUGUUCGCUACGUUGGCGAACAUGGCCACCGAUGACGAGCGUCGAUCUGCUGCGAUAAUUGAUUGGAUUCAACAGCAACCUAAAAACAUAGAGUCCACAAAGUCCGCCUGUGAAAGUAAUAGCAUUUCCCAGCCUACUUUACAUUUGGGGUCAGAUUCGAGAGCAUCGUAUUAGACGGGCAGCGCCAACAUACAAGAUCCUAAAUGCACGAAAAGAAAGGGCGCCCCGAGGAAAUUACUUGUUAAAGGCUCAUUGGAGUUGAGCUCUAAGAAAACAAAGGUAAAUUCAGUAGCUAAAUAUUUUCUCAAGAGCUUCUUAAAUAUUUACUUACUCCUUUAAACUAAGAAUUUUUUCAUUGUCUUGUAGGCGAGGUCGAGAGGCCCGAAGAGCAAUCUUGAACACAGUGCGCCGACCACUCAGACCUCGAGGCAUGCACAAUAUUUGACGUCGACGCCGUCCUCGUAUUCACAGGUUACAUGUGUAAGUA